rnacentral:rRNA from 1 species
GUUAGGAAUAUUGGACAAUGGGCGCAAGCCUGAUCCAGCCAUGCCGCGUGAGUGAUGAAGGCCUUCGGGUUGUAAAGCUCUUUAGUCCACGAAUAUAAUGACUGUAGUGGAAGAAUAAGCCCCGGCUAACUUCGUGCCAGCAGCCGCGGUACUACGAAGGGGGCGAGCGUUAUUCGGAAUCACUGGGCGUAAAGCGUGCGUAGGCUGUUUGGUAAGUCAGAAGUGAAAGCCCAGGGCUUAACCCUGGAAUUGCUUUUGAGACUACAAGACUAGAAUUCGAGAGAGGAUAGCGGAAUUGUCAGUGUAGCAGUGAAAUGCGUAGAUAUUGACAGGAACACCAGUGGCGCAAGCGGCUAUCUGGACCGAUAUUGACGCUGAGGCACGAAAGCGUGGGGAGCAAACAGGAUUAGAACCCUUGUAGUCC